rnacentral:ncRNA from 2 species
CCGGCAUCCCCGGGGAGCCUUAGGCUGAGAGGUGGGCUGCGAUGCCCACGACCCGCUGAACCUGAUCCGGCUCGCACCGGCGUAGGAAGGGAGUGCCGGCAGCGG